AAUCAACGCUGGCGGCGUGCCUAACACAUGCAAGUCGAACGCGAAAGCCCCUUCGGGGGUUAGUAGAGUGGCGUCCGGGUGAGUAACACGUGGGUAAUCUGCCUUCGGGUGGGGAAUAACCCAGGGAAACUUGGGCUAAUACCGCAUAAUGCAGCGGCACCUAAUGGUGAUUAGUUGUUAAAGCGGGGGAUCGCAAGACCUCGCGCCUGAAGAGGAGCCUGCGGCAGAUUAGCUAGUUGGUGAGGUAAUGGCUCACCAAGGCUUCGAUCUGUAGCUGGUCUGAGAGGACGGCCAGCCACACUGGCACUGACACACGGGCCAGACUCCUACGGGAGGCAGCAGUGGGGAAUUUUGGGCAAUGGGCGAAAGCCUGACCCAGCAACGCCGCGUGAGGGAGGAAAUCCUUCGGAUGUAAACCUCACAAGCAAGGGGAAGAGAGCUGCAGGCUGAAUAAUCCUGCAGUACGACGGUACCUUGCGUAAGCCACGGCUAAC
rnacentral:rRNA from 1 species